rnacentral:rRNA from 1 species
UACGAAGGGGGCUAGCGUUGUUCGGAAUCACUGGGCGUAAAGGGCGCGUAGGCGGCUUUGUAAGUCGGGGGUGAAAGCCUGUGGCUCAACCACAGAAUUGCCCUUCGAUACUGCAUGGCUUGAGACCGGAAGAGGUAAGUGGAACUGCGAGUGUAGAGGUGAAAUUCGUAGAUAUUCGCAAGAACACCAGUGGCGAAGGCGGCUUACUGGUCCGGUUCUGACGCUGAGGCGCGAAAAGCGUGGGGAGCAAACAGG